ACGGGCUGCCCGGGGCCCGGCAGCGCAGCCGGGGCUCCCGAGGCCCGGUGCAUCUCCAAGUCCCAGCGGCUGUUCCGUGGGGCUGGUUCAGGUUGUUACAGGGGCAGAGAGGCUCCAGUGCUGGCGGAAUGACCCUAAAUCCGCUCCCUGGAGGGCAGACUCCUGUCAGGGAGCUGACUUUGCUAGGCCUGGCUCUGCCGGUGCGCUCCCUGACGCUCGGUCCCUGUGCUCUGGUGCCCGGUCACGAUUCGGCUUUCAGCGUGCUCCCUCUGGAGAGAGCAGAGACACGAGAAGAUGCUCCGUGGUAGUGGAAUGUCUGUCCCCUCAGCCAUGGAUCAGCCCUGGGCCCCGUGCCCAAGCACUGAUGGCUCCAGGGGCUCUCUGCUGCCCCAGGAGCAGGGGGGCUGGUGUGUCGGCCCUGCCAGCCCCGCGCCCAGCCGGCGGAAGGGAAAGCAAGCGAGUGUCCAGCUGCCCUGGCGAAAGGGGGAUGGAAAAGCCCCGUGGGAACCCAGCGGAAAAUUGUGCUCAGGGCCUCGCCUAUGCUAGAGGGCUCAAUGGUUUGCUGCCAUCCAGCACAAGCACCCCAGUCCAGGACCAGUCUGAACUGGGACCACAGCAGUGCAGCCUGGAAACGCCCCAUCACAGGAGCUCCUGCACUCCCUGCCUCAGCGACCUGAGCUCUGCCCCAGCCUGAACUCCGUGCUGGACCUGGGACUGGAGUGGCACCACAGCCUUGUCACCACACCUGGCGGAGAAAUGGCUCUUGGAGCCCCGGGGAGCUGGAGGGUGCGGGGGAGGUUUGCUCCCCAGUGGGUGAGAUGGAUGGCCCAGUUGCUGCCUGGGCAAUGGCUCGGGCCCCAUGUGCUCAUGCCGUGCCUCUUCCAGCCUCCCCCUGCUCCUCAUCCUCCGGCGGCCUCGUGGGUGCCGGCCCGCUGGGGAACUGGGGUCUCAGCGUGAACACGGGACGACCCCCGAGGCGCUGGGCUGCCCCUGGCUGAUGUCUGCCCACGGAGAGCAGGCGUUGCGCUGCGGGAGACGGCGGCCUGUCCCUUCCCGGGGACACGGUGACGGGCGUGGAGGGCCAGGUGCUGUUCGGUGAGUCGCCUUCAGCUCCGUCCCAGCAGCCGAGGCUCUGCCCCGCUGACCUGUCCCAGAUGCUCUUGGUGUGGUGUGGCCGGGCCCCUGCCUGCCGCCACGCAGAGCUCCGGGGCUGCUCAGAGCCAGCCCCAGCGCCCUGCGAGCAGCAGCGCUCAGCAGCGUGUUUGAUUCCACAUCUGAACGUGGAAAUCAAAGCGAAUCCUGGACCCUGGCCCAAGUGACACCGUGGGGCUGUCACUGCAGGACCUACCCUGCGUUCCCCUGCCUCUCAUUCACAUACACACACCCCCCAGCUGGGGUCUCUCCCUGGGGUGCUCCGGGGUGACACGGCGGGGGGUCUGUGUCUGAACACUCCCUGCGAUGCCCAGGGGUGGGCUGCUUUGGGAAAGGCCUCAGUGCCCCGGGAAGGGGCAGGUCUGUGUCCUGGGGGCAUAUCCCCACAGGUGGUGGCAGCCGCAGGGCCCCCAGGGCUCAACCACCUCACCCUGACCUCUCCUGACAAGCACUUGCUCUGGGUUUUCUCCUACUCUAGCCUCCAGGCGCAGUGCUAAUCCCUUUUUCCUGGGAGAGCCAGUAACAACCUAAAAUCUUUUCCCCUUCCUAGAUAUUGUUUUAAAACUAUUUCAUCAUAUUCUUUUUGGCUGAAAUAAGGGGAGCUUCUUGAGGAAUGUGCCUGGUACAUUAACACAUAGAGCUGAUUUUACACACUCUUUCUAACCCUUUACUCACCUCAUGAUGGGGCCUCGGGCCUGGGCACGAGUCACCUCACCAAGCUGUCAGGUUACGGGCUGCUGUGCUCGCCGAGCUGGCUCCCCACACCCUCCAAGCCCCCGUGUCCACCCUCCAUGGUGGUCAGCAGGGCCUGCCUGACCCUCAUCACUUCAGGCCUCCUCCCCAGCCCCCCUCCUAAACCAGAGCCGCCCUCCCAUCUGUGGCUGAAGCAGGUAACACACUGGGAGGUCACUGCCAGACUGCUGGGCAAGCAAGGCUGAGCGCUGCCACGAGAAAGGAGAAAUGGCACCUCUUCUCAGCUGUGCAGAGGUCUGCAGGAGGGGCUGUUGGGGUGAACAUCACCCAGCAAAGUGCUGUGUAUCGGCACAAGCGGCCCUUUCCCUUCAGACACCUGCGAGUAUACCCUAAAGGAGACCGGCAGCAGCCUGGGUACCGCGUGCUGUGUGUACACCCUAAAGGAGACCGGCAGCAGUGCAGCGGGUGACGCAUCCACGGGCUGGAGCGCCCGGGCCACCAGCACCAAGGCAAGAGGCAGGAAAGGUUCCUCAUUCAGCCAGGCUGCUGUACCACGUCAAAAAGUAUUUGGAAAUGGCGACGUUUACUCAUCCUGGCGAGAAGAAAACUCAGUGCCUUCAUCACCGAAAUGUUGAGUGCUGCGCAGCAUGGAGUGGGUCCCUCUCUGCCAGAGCACCUGGGAGACAAGCGCUGUGCCGGGAGCAUGGUGCCAGCCUCGCCCUCCAGAAGCAGCGGGGAAGCGUGUUGAGCUACCCUGGUGCUCAUUUCCUGCUUUUGGGCUUGGGUUUGGGUUUUUUUUGUUUUUUUUUUUUUUCAUUUCAAGUUCUUUAGUCCGUAAGAUGGGGGAGCUGUUGCAUUGUGCAAAAAAAGCAGAGCCCGUUCCUGCUAAUUCCCAGGCAUUAGUCUCCUUGUAGCCAGCAGGCAGGAGGUGAGAGGCCGCAUGCCGGCUCUCUGGGGAGCCCCAGUGCCCCCCGUUACCGCCUCGCCUGCCGGGAGGCACGGGACGAGCGGCUUCUGGAGAGGCCCCUUCCUCAUCGAUACUUCUCGGUUUAUUUCAGAGCAUUGCUCUCCGAGGUGUGCCAGCGAGUGUCACACACCAGCAGGGGUUGGUUCCCGGCUCUUGGGGCGUCUCCCAGCAGCCCCACUCUGGAUCGGGCCCUGUGCUGGGAACCCCCGCGGGGGCCGGGGGGCAGGUGCCGGGGCUGUCCUGGACGGACUCAGUUCAUCCACCGAAACCAGACCAAGCAGAGAGAUAUAAAACACCUGGAGCACAUCCUUUUUUACAUUUUUUAAUCUUUAAAAAAAAAAAAAAACUGUUUAACUUAGAUUUAAAUUCAUGAUUAUAGUAAUUGCACUGUUUGCUCGAUCUUUUAACAGAUUUGCUCCUUGAGGAAUAAAAUAACAUGCUGAUAUUCUUUGGAUUUUUUUGAAAUCUCCUGCAUGAUUAUAUGAAGAUGCCUACCAGCUCAGCACUGGGGCAGCACCCUCUGGGCAGCUCAACUCCUCGCGGUCCUUGGCUCGCAGUGAGAGGCAGAAGGCAGAGGCGGCAGCAGCAGCAGCAGUCCCUCCCCUGCCGCGGGCACCGCUGCCCUGCCCAGCACACACUUUAUUACAGCUGGCAGCUGGUAAGGGCACCUAACAGACGGGUGUCACCAGUCAUUUGGAUCUCUCAACUUUACAGGACCAAGUACUCUAAAUUAAGCUUUGUUUUAUGAGCUCACUAAGAAAUACAACAAACAAAGGCUCCAUCUCCUUUGCCCAGACUAGUCUUUCACGCGAAUUCUCUUACUGACCCCCCAAGUCAUGAGGUGUCAUACCUUAAAACCCGUCACUCUGAACUCAUGCACCGGUGAGUAAGUCGUCCCUAGCUGAGGGUGGGUGCUCAUCGCUCCCCCCCGAUGCUGUGCGGGCAUCCCCUGCGUCACUCUGGGAAGCACGAAAGCCCCAGCAGCCCGGCUCUGUGGCUGCACCUCCAAAGCGCCGCAGGUAAGCGGCUGUUUCACACCUCCCAGCCGGAGGGUCAGCCCUCCCUGUUCCCAGGAGUCGGCAGAUUCUGACGGAGCUGGCUGGCGCUCGCUCUGCCAAGGUGCUGGCUGCAGGGCACAGCCAGCUGCAGGGCACCGCCGCUGCAUCCUGGCACUGUGCCUCCUUCUGGCCACCCCUCCUGGCUACCCAGUGCUCGCUUUGGGCCACUGGCGCAGCUCCCAGCCCACACCAGGCCUUGGCAUGAGCCACAUGAGCCAGAAUCUGAGCAGGAGGCACAAAGGGCCAGGUAUUCCCAUCAUUUCUUUAUUUUGGGAGGGGUGCAAGGACAGGGCUAGGGCUACCUGCUGCAUAGCUGUGCCCAUUCUUGGUCUUAGUCUGCCAGCCUGCUUUAUUUUUAAUAUUAUGUACAGUUUAAAAGGCAUUAAAAGUCACCUCCUUGGCACUGAAUCUUGUAUUUUCAGGAACAUGCUGCAUGGAAAACACUUAGACAGUUGCCUUAGAAGACUUCCAGCCCUGACGGUCUCUCUAAUCGCACAAGACUUCCAUGCUGUGUUUAAAAAUCUCAGAAUGCCAUGACUUGAUGGUAAUUAGUGAUAAUUGUUUCACACACAAGCACUGUAUUUGACUAAUAACUCCCUUUACAAGAGUCAGGGAGAUCAGGGACGCCUGGGUCAAGAACCGUCGCUGUUAAUUACCCUUUUACUCCUCCCGUUGCUAACACAAGCUUGUCCACAGCUUCUGCUGGUGUUGACCUUUCAAGGACGGGACGCUCAGCCCUGCGAGGUCUUGAGCACCACAGCACUGUGCUCAGACAGCGGAAGCAGGUUCAAGUGCUGCAUCCCAGGUCCCCUUCAAAAGCGGCAAACACGGAUCAUCAUUUCUUAAGGAAAAGAGGCAGGUGUGCCAGCCUGGCCUGACCUGCCGCAGAGCGCGGGCCAGCAGCCACACACUCAUGGGUUUUGCUGCUGUUUGAAGUUCUUCUGGAGACAAACCCAGGCUGGGUUAGAGAAAAACAACUUCAAUUGACAGAAUUCGAACAGCCCCUUGGGUAAGUUGCUCCAGUGACUUACUAUUCUUAUUGUUAAAAAUGUGCAUCUUACUUCUACUUUUAAGCUUCCUAUUGAAGCUUCCAGACAUGGAUUUUUUUUUCUUUUUUUAAGGGAUAACCCCUGAAGAGAAAUAUUUCUCAGGCAGUGGGUAAUGUGUGCUGUGAAUGGCCAUGGGCUAACAGGAAGGGAUCAGGAGAUAUUAAGGACUGUACUGCCAUCUCCAGCCAUAACCCUCCCUUCCCGUCCUGCCCUGGAGGUCACACGCCUGCGCCUGGGGAAAGUCACACUCGGGAAGUUGGAGAAUGAGGACGGUGCAGAUCCUGCCACACAGGCUUGAGCAAAUGUGGCUGCAAAACAGGAGCUGAUCAUUGGAAAAGGUUUAGAAACUCUGCAAAUCACAGGAAAAUGGUUAUCGGAUGGUUUUCCCCUUGUGUCAGUACUGCCAGGCUGCGCUGGGGUCACACCAUCACGCCCUGGGGCAGUGGGUGUCAUCUGUCGGGCCAGACCCUGCUCUGGGCACUUGCCGGCUCCAAAAGUCACAGUUUCUGCCAUGGGGGUUCACCCUCUCGAGGGCUGACAAGGGCAAUGAAGGGACCCCACAGGGCACGGCAGGCGCCUGGCACUGCCGCCGAGAUGCCUCCCCACACCUGGACCCCCCCAGCCCCUGGCCUGGCUGCUUCCCGGGAAGGUCGGGGACAGAGACCCCCAGAGCCAGGCAUCCCCUGCACCCCGGGGGGGGUCAGCCCCUUCCUUCUGCUCGGGGUCUGGUCCCCACAGCCGAGUGCCCACACCAGCCUGAGCCCCGUGCCCAGUGGGGUCCAGAGCUGCCACCACACGCCUCGCUCCUGAGCAUCACCCUCCUCUGCUGUGAUCCUGCCUGCCCAGCAAAGCUGCUGCCUCGCCCAGCUCUGCUCUGCUCUCCAGAAGGAAGUGUGUGACUAUCAAACAGUUAAUUAGAUUCUCUGACUUCUGAAAAAAUAAACCAAUCUCGACCACUGUUAUUUUACAGACUUGGAAGCAAGACUGCGAAGAUGCAGUGCCCUUAUGAAGCCAGUGAGCAGCAUGAAUACACAACGUGAAUGUGCAUUCAGUGUGUGCAGGAACAUGAAAUCAUACAGGGAACGUGAACUGUGUUUCCAGAAAAUGUCCCUUGCGAGGCAAUGACCAAGCACUUCAGAUGGCUGCAUGGCACAGCAGUUGUCUCUACACACCGCAGCUCUGGAAGCGCUCCUCUCUGCCUUAGAGAUAAUACCCUUCAGAAAUGCCUCUCCCGUUACCGAGAGACCGCCCUGCCACAGCCGAACCUCCCUGUCUCUGUCUCCCCGCUCGCAGAGAUCUGGACGUGUUUCCGCAGCUCGGUGUCAGUUCUGCAUUGCCAAUGGCAGACAUCUUAAUGAAAAGCAUCUUCCCGUCAGCGGCGGCGCCAGCUCCCAGCAGUGCUCCUGAUUAGCCCGCGCAGGAGCUGGCGCUCGACGCUGACCUGAAAAUCUGCUUACCUGAUUUCCGAGUGGGAGGGAGCUCAGGGCUGCUGGCGGCUGAAACGGGGAUGCUCAGCACAGAAACCUCUGCUCAGCCUAACUAAUGCCUUGCUGGCCUUCCGCGGCCCUGGCACCAAGGCGCGGGGCUGGGGCAUUCUGGCUUCUUCUGCUUUGAGAAGACACAUCCUUGGCUUUCCCCUGGAUUUCUCAGUGAAGCCCCAAAGGCGCCGCCUGUGCCCGGGUUUCUGGGUACGGCAGCGAGCUGGCACAGAAGCAGCUGAGGCAUGCUGGCUUUUCCUGUCGCAGCACUUUUCUAUAUGUCCCCACCAAGAGACUCUGCCUGUGCUCACUCAGCGAUGCGACCUGCAGGUGCUUUUCUCCCUGUCAGUGUUACUGGGGGGGUUGCAGUGGGAUGCAGAGGUGCCAGGGAGCCCCCAUGCCCGAGUGCUGGGUGGGCACAGCGCAGAACCGAGCUCACCUAGUUUGACUCCCAGCCCACCAGUCAGGCUGCCAGGGAGCAGAGCACCGAGGCUGGGAGCUGCGUUUGCAGCAAGAACCACAGCUGCUCAGGCUAUUAUUCCCCAGUGGAAACAGAGACCAUUUUUCCAUGUGGCGACCUUUGUCUCUAUUGAAUCACAGAAUCAUUCUGGUUGGAAAAGACCUUGAAGAUCAUUUAGUCUAACCGUUGCUGAGCGCCGCUGCCCACCGCUGUCCCUCCGUGCAUGUGCUGCUCUGCGUGGCAGCUUCUCCCGCGGGCGGAGCACGGUGGCCCCGGGGCCGCUGCCGAGCAGCUCCCCACUGCAGCCGUGCCCCCACCGGCCGCUCCUUGCCUGCCCAGCGGCUACCCGAGGUGUCACCAUCCUGCCAAGAUUAAAUGACACUUUCCUGGAGGCUGUGCGCAUCGGUCCGUGCGUUCCGCGGUCCGUGAUGACCCUUACCGGGGAGUCGGUCAUUAAGGAAAUGUUACUUCUGGGGAGCUCAGCUGCAAUCCGCUCUCUGGAACCUGGCUUGUCCGAGUCCCAAAAGACCCAUAUCCACUUGUCUUUACCUGCUGUAUCUUCUCAAUUUCUCCUACGACUUUGCACACUGCUGAGGACUAGCCUAAAGAUUCCUGUUUUCUCAUCUCACUUCAGCCCCUUUCUUAAAAUACAGGAACAAGUGAAACUUCCCCCCC